UACGUAGGGUGCGAGCGUUGUCCGGAUUUACUGGGCGUAAAGAGCGCGCAGGCGGUCGUACAAGUCGCGUGUGAAAGCCCCCGGCUCAACUGGGGAGGGUCACGCGAUACUGUUCGACUGGAAGGCAGGAGAGGGAAGUGGAAUUCCCGGUGUAGAGGUGAAAUUCGUAGAUAUUCGCAAGAACACCAGUGGCGAAGGCGGCUCACUGGCCCGGUACUGACGCUGAGGUGCGAAAGCGUGGGGAGCAAACAGGG
rnacentral:rRNA from 1 species